rnacentral:rRNA from 1 species
UACGUAGGGUGCAAGCGUUAAUCGGAAUUACUGGGCGUAAAGCGUGCGCAGGCGGUUGUGCAAGACAGAUGUGAAAUCCCCGGGCUCAACCUGGGAAUGGCAUUUGGGACUGCAAGGCUGGAGUACGGCAGAGGAGACUGGAAUUCCUGGUGUAGCAGUGAAAUGCGUAGAGAUCAGGAGGAAUACCGAUGGCGAAGGCAGGUCUCUGGGCUGAUACUGACGCUCAUGCACGAAAGCGUGGGGAGCAAACAGG